CACGUAGUUAGCCGGGGCUUCUUAGUCAGGUACCGUCAUUAUCUUCCCUGCUGAUAGAGCUUUACAUACCGAAAUACUUCUUCGACUCACGCGGCGUCGCUGCAUCAGGGUUUCCCCCAUUGUGCAAUAUUCCCCACUGCUGCCUCCCGUAGGAGUCUGGGCCGUGUCUCAGUCCCAAUGUGGCCGUUCACUCUCUCAAGCCGGCUACUGAUCGUCGCCUUGGUAGGCCGUUACCCCACCAACAAGCUAAUCAGACGCGGGUCCAUCUCACAGCGAUAAAUCUUUAGAAAGGAUCGUCAUGCGGCAAUCCCUUGUUAUGCGGUAUUAGCAGCCGUUUCCGGCUGUUCGUCCCCCUCUGUGAGGCAGGUUACCCACGCGUUACUCACCCGUCCGCCACUCAGUCAUACCAUUCCUUCCCUCCGAAAAGUUCCCGUCGGUAGCCGUACUUCGUUCCGACUUGCUAUGUGUUAAGCUACGCCCGCG
rnacentral:rRNA from 1 species